rnacentral:rRNA from 1 species
AUUGAACGCUGGCGGCAGGCCUAACACAUGCAAGUCGAACGAGUGGCGGACGGGUGAGUAAUAUCUGGGAAAGUGCCUGAUGGAGGGGGAUAACUACUCGAAAGGGUAGCUAAUACCGCAUACUAUGCGAUGUGCCCAUAUGGGAUUAGCUGGUUGGUGGGGUAACGGCCCACCAAGGCGACGAUCAGUAGCGGGUCUGAGAGGAUGACCCGCCACACUGGGACUGAGACACGGUCCAGACUCCUACGGGAGGCAGCAGUGGGGAAUAUUGCACAAUGGGCGCAAGCCUGAUGCAGCCAUGCCGCGUGUAUGAAGAAGGCCUUCGGGUUGUAAAGUACUUUCAUCAGGGAAGCGGUACCCGAAGAAGAAGCACCGGCUAACUCCGUGCCAGCAGCCGCGGUAAUAC